GCCAGCUUCCCAUGUGCAAACAGCAAAACACAUCUGGCGUUUAAAAUCUGCGUCUUCCUCAAAGCUCUUCUGCCAAAAUGAGAGCAACUGCAAGGUGCUAUGAGUCAACAGCCUGGCAUGCUGGAGGUAGAAACAACUGUUUACAACUCAUCAGAACUUCAAAAAUGAAGCUGAUUUCCUGAAGGGUUCUGUCAAAGGCAGGCAUCUGGCUGAGAGUGUCUCUAACGCACCAGGGUUUUUGAUUCCGUGCACAAAGCUGUGGGAACGAGAUGUAAUC
rnacentral:lncRNA from 1 species